rnacentral:rRNA from 1 species
AUUGAACGCUGGCGGAAUGCUUUACACAUGCAAAUCGAGCGGCAGCGCGGGGACAACCCUGGCGGCGAGCGGCGAACGGGUGAGUAACAUAUCGGAACGUACCCAGUCGUGGGGGAUAACUAUCCGAAAGGAUAGCUAAUACCGCAUACGUCCUGAGGGAGAAAGCGGGGGAUCGCAAGACCUCGCGCGAUUGGAGCGGCCGAUAUCGGAUUAGCUAGUUGGUGGGGUAAAGGCCCACCAAGGCGACGAUCCGUAGCGGGUCUGAGAGGACGGCCCGCCACACUGGGACUGAGACACGGCCCAGACUCCUACGGGAGGCAGCAGUGGGGAAUUUUGGACAAUGGGGGCAACCCUGAUCCAGCCAUUCCGCGUGUGUGAAGAAGGCCU